AUGACCAAGCCAAGAGCAAGAAUCAUGUCACUUGGAGAAAAAUUCAAGAUUUGUGUCAAUAUGACCAAAUCAAGAACCAUCAUAUGGAGGAAAAAGCAAGGAUCAUGCUACUUGAAGAAAGGCAAUGCGCCGUUGACGCAGAGGCUGGGAGGCGGGCACGCGUUGCCGGGGGCGGCGGAGCAGAUGUUCGCCACGCUCGUCGGCGACUACCCGAUCUCCUCCGAGUUCUGGAGGCAGCUGCUCGAGCUGCUCCUCACCCAGCAGUGGCCACGGGACCGCCUGCUGCAGGCAUGCGACGCCUUCCUUAAGGACCAACGACUCGAGAUCCAGACCACACAUACGCCUACAGUUGCUCUGAUCGCUUCCGUUUCCGCCCUUUUGUUGUUGCUUCGGAUGAUGAUUAAUUGUUGUUUUGCGGGUUUUGGUCUGCAGGGGCAAUGCGGAUCAUGUGAUUUAUGCGUGCGCGGCUGUGGGUCGCACCGUUUAUCUGCUGCUUUGAGGGAUUAUAUACCUCUGUUCUUACCUAGCUAUGAAACUGAGCUAGGUAGCUAUAUCCAACAUGAAGCUUUGAUGCUCCUGCAGAUGGCGGCAAUACCACCUAAUGAGGAGACCAAAGGGUUGCUAACCUGGGAAAGUUACAGUUGUUUAUCUUCUUCCCAUCGUACCUCCUCCAUUGGUGGUCGUAGUUGUGCGGUGCAAAGGUAUCCACCUUCCUCGAUGGCUUCUCCACACAGGUCCAUCAGGAGGAAGAUCAAAGAUGAAACUAAAGCUUUCAGCAUAUGUGACCCACUCUAUAUCGAGGAAAUGCUUUCGCCCAAUCCUCCCGCGCGCUCCGCUCCCAAUACUCGUCGCACACCAGAGCCCACACCCGCACCAACCCUAGCCACCACACCUCAUCUUCCUCCCUCGCUCUGCCCCAACCUAGCCGCCACACCUCUCCUUCCUCCCUUGCUCGACGCCAUAGGCGCCGCAGCCCCUACCUCCUUCCUGCUCAUCUGGAUAGCCGCCGGCCGCCACAUCCUUUCUCCUCCUUCUUCCUCCUCGCUGGCGCCCCUCGCCCUCCCGCCAAGCCUCCUCGUCAAGCCCGUGCCCCCUCCGCCUUGUCUCCUCUGUGCUCCCUCCUCUCCCACGUCGCCACCCUCGAGCCCGCACCCCCUCCGCCUCGUCUCCUCCCCGCUCCCUCCUCUCAAAACCCGCGCCAUUGACGUGCCGUCAGGGACGCCGUCGACACGUCGGGGAUACGCCGCAAUGGAGCUCAAACAAGAGCAGGGCAGCGGAUUGGAUCGAGGGCACCCGAUGACCUCGCCGCCGCUGUCACCUGGAUUUGCUAGCCGCCGCGUGGAGUCUCCCUGGCCGCUGCCUCGGGUCACCUCCGUCGCCGCCGCGAGUCAGCUCCACUUUUGCCGCCAGGAAUCUCGUCCUCAGCAAGGUAUGCUUCGAAUCCCUGCUCUCCCUGGUCCUCCUGCCCUACUUGCUGCGUCUAUGUUGUAUGUGUUUAGCCAUGAUCUACUCGAGGAAGCUCGAAUUCCUCGAGUUUUACAGGCCGGAAACCUCCGAUCGCUUAGGCCCCAUGGCAGCAGCCGGAUCGGGCGGUGGUGGAAGGCCAUGGAGGGUGUGGCGCAUCCGGGCAGAACCAACAUGGGUUGGUGGAGCGACGGAUGCGGGCAGAGUCAGCGGUUAGGGGCACUGCGAGGAGUGGAAGGCAGCGGUCAUGCGCCAAAUCGGACCAGCAGCAGCAAGGAGCUGCUGGUGGUUCAGGUUUGCCUCAAUGGUCGUCAGCUCCAGCCCCGGCCCGGACAGUGCCAUGGAUCCGGUGAAGUGGUCCACGCUGAGGAAGAGGCAAACAACGCAGGGAAGAAGCCAACGUUCUUGUGGUUUGUUCUCCUGUCGAUUUCCCCUCUUGCCUGGUCUGAUUUUGUGGUGAAAACAAUGGUGGAUUUCUCUGCUGGGUGGUCUAAUGUGGGGUUGAUUUAUGCCCUCGAUUCCUUCCUUUUCUGUUCCCUGUGUAACCAUCAGAUGCCAUUGCUCUUUUAUUUAGUUGAAUGCAGUUCCCUGUGUAACCAUCAGAUGCCAUUGCUCUUUUAUUUAAUUGAAUGCAGGUUUAAGGUGUUUGGUUUAGUCAAGUGUGCAUCAAGGAGAUGGCUAGCCGCACAAUGCUGGGUAUAG
rnacentral:rRNA from 1 species